UAUCGGUGGUGUCCACCUCUUCCCAUUCCGAACAGAGAAGUUAAGCCCACCAGAGCCGAUGGUACUGCGGUAACACGUGGGAGAGUAGGUCGGUGCCAAAU
rnacentral:rRNA from 1 species